GAGGGGAUAUGAUGACAGCUUAAUUGCUGAAUAGUAUCUGAGGCGUAAGCUUUGAAGAAUUAUCAUUUGCACGUCGGUCUGAUCCCAAA
rnacentral:snoRNA from 1 species